UGCGGUUAAAACGUUCGAAGUUGAUUCUUGUCCAACUCAGACCGACACUACUGGCCCGGCGCAUGCCGGUGUCCGGUGGGUUCGUUCGGUAUCUGGUUGCGACUCAAAUGGUGCGGCUGGGCAGACCACUGUGGCAUGAAUGCUCUUAACCGAGUGGACGUGAACCUACAGUGCUCGGCCGCUCACAUUUACCUUGAACAAAUUAGAGUGCUUCAAGCAGGCUACUUAGAAAGGCCGAGUAUAAUCUUGCAUGGAAUAAUGGAAUAUGACCUUGGUCUAAACGUUUCGUUGGUUUGUAAAUCAGACGCAAAGGUAAUGAUUAACAGAAGUAGUUGGGGGCAUUAGUAUUACGGCGCGAGAGGUGAAAUUCGUAGACCGUCGUAAGACUCACUAAAGCGAAAGCAUCUGCCAUGGAUACUUUCAUUAAUCAAGAACGAAAGUUAGAGUAUCGAAGGCGAUUAGAUACCGCCCUAGUUCUAACCGUAAACGAUGCCAAUUAGCAAAUGGGAGACGCUACAACCUUGGUGCUCUCAGUGGCUUUCGGGAAACCAAAAUAAGGUUCCGGGGGAAGUAUGGUUGCAAAGUUGAAACUUAAAGGAAUUGAUGGAGAGGCACACCAGUGGUGGAGCUUGCGGCUUAAUUUGACUCAACACGGGAAAACUUACCAGGUCCGAACUUAUAGAGGUAAGACAGAUUAAUAGCUCUUUCUCAAACUUAAGGGUAGUGGUGCAUGGCCGUUCUUAG
rnacentral:rRNA from 1 species